GACGAACGCUGGCGGCGUGCUUAACACAUGCAAGUCGAACGGAAAGGACCUGUUUAUGUGGGGUGCUCGAGUAGCGAACGGGUGAGUAAAACGUGAGUAACCAGAGACUGACACAGGGAUACCUAAAGGAAACUGGGACUCAUAAGGGACAGGAGUUCCUACUGCAUGGUGGGGGUUGGAAAGAUUGGGCGGUUGGGAGUGGGCUCGGCGAUCAUCAGGUUGUUGGUGGGGUAGUGGCUUACCAAGGCUUUGACGGGUAGCCGGGCUGAGAGGGGGACCGGCCACAUUGGGACUGGGAUACGGCCCAGACCCCUACGGGAUGCAGCAGUGCAGUAUAAUGCACAAUGGGCGGAAGCCUGAUGCAGCCACGCCGCGUGCGGGAUAACAGCCUUCGGGUUGUAAACCGCUUUCUCCUGUGACGAAGCGUGAGUGACGGUAAUGGGUAAAUAAGCACCGGCUAACUACGUG
rnacentral:rRNA from 1 species